UACGGGGGGGGCAAGCGUUGUUCGGAAUUACUGGGCGUAAAGGGCUCGUAGGCGGCCAACUAAGUCAGACGUGAAAUCCCUCGGCUUAACCGGGGAACUGCGUCUGAUACUGGAUGGCUAGAGUGUGGGAGAGGGAUGCGGAAUUCCAGGUGUAGCGGUGAAAUGCGUAGAUAUCUGGAGGAACACCGGUGGCGAAGGCGGCAUCCUGGACCACGACUGACGCUGAGUGAGCGAAAAGCCCAGGGGGAGCAAAACGGGG
rnacentral:rRNA from 1 species